GAUUUACUUCGGUAAUGACGUUAGGAAAGCGAGCGGCGGAUGGGUGAGUAACACGUGGGGAACCUGCCCCAUAGUCUGGGAUACCACUUGGAAACAGGUGCUAAUACCGGAUAAGAAAGCAGAUCGCAUGAUCAGCUUUUAAAAGGCGGCGUAAGCUAUCGCUAUGGGAUGGCCCCGCGGUGCAUUAGCUAGUUGGUAAGGUAAAGGCUUACCAAGGCGAUGAUGCAUAGCCGAGUUGAGAGACUGAUCGGCCACAUUGGGACUGAGACACGGCCCAAACUCCUACGGGAGGCAGCAGUAGGGAAUCUUCCACAAUGGACGCAAGUCUGAUGGAGCAACGCCGCGUGAGUGAAGAAGGUUUUCGGAUCGUAAAGCUCUGUUGUUGGUGAAGAAGGAUAGAGGUAGUAACUGGCCUUUAUUUGACGGUAAUCAACCAGAAAGUCACGGCUAACUACGUGCCAGCAGCCGCGGUAAUACGUAGGUGGCAAGCGUUGUCCGGAUUUAUUGGGCGUAAAGCGAGCGCAGGCGGAAGAAUAAGUCUGAUGUGAAAGCCCUCGGCUUAACCGAGGAACUGCAUCGGAAACUGUUUUUCUUGAGUGCAGAAGAGGAGAGUG
rnacentral:rRNA from 1 species